rnacentral:rRNA from 1 species
UACGGAGGGAGCUCGCGUUGUUCGGAAAUACUGGGCGUAAAGCGCACGUAGGCGGCGCAGCAAGUCAGGGGUGAAAUCCCGGGGCUCAACCCCGGAACUGCCCUUGAAACUGCAGUGCUAGAAUCCUGGAGAGGCGAGUGGAAUUCCGAGUGUAGAGGUGAAAUUCGUAGAUAUUCGGAAGAACACCAGUGGCGAAGGCGACUCGCUGGACAGGUAUUGACGCUGAGACGCGAAAGCGUGGGGAGCGAACAGG